AAAUUGAAGAGUUUGAUCAUGGCUCAGAUUGAACGCUGGCGGCAGGCCUAACACAUGCAAGUCGAACGGUAGCACAGGGGAGCUUGCUCCUUGGGUGACGAGUGGCGGACGGGUGAGUAAUGUCUGGGAAACUGCCCGAUGGAGGGGGAUAACUACUGGAAACGGUAGCUAAUACCGCAUAACGUCGCAAGACCAAAGAGGGGGACCUUCGGGCCUCUUGCCAUCGGAUGUGCCCAGAUGGGAUUAGCUAGUAGGUGGGGUAACGGCUCACCUAGGCGACGAUCCCUAGCUGGUCUGAGAGGAUGACCAGCCACACUGGAACUGAGACACGGUCCAGACUCCUACGGGAGGCAGCAGUGGGGAAUAUUGCACAAUGGGCGCAAGCCUGAUGCAGCCAUGCCGCGUGUAUGAAGAAGGCCUUCGGGUUGUAAAGUACUUUCAGCGAGGAGGAAGGCGUUGUGGUUAAUAACCGCA
rnacentral:rRNA from 1 species